GCGGAAGUGGCGAAAUAGGCAUACGCGCGGGUUUUAGGUACCCGUGCCCGAGAGGGCGUGAGGGUUCAAGUCCCUUCUUCCGCACCG
rnacentral:tRNA from 1 species